rnacentral:rRNA from 1 species
CAGCCGCCGCGGGAAUACGUAGGGUGCGAGCGUUAAUCGGAAUUACUGGGCGUAAAGCGUGCGCAGGCGGCUUUGCAAGACAGAUGUGAAAUCCCCGGGCUCAACCUGGGAACUGCAUUUGUGACUGCAAGGCUAGAGUGCGGCAGAGGGAGAUGGAAUUCCGCGUGUAGCAGUGAAAUGCGUAGAUAUGCGGAGGAACACCGAUGGCGAAGGCAAUCUCCUGGGCCUGCACUGACGCUCAUGCGCGAAAGCGUGGGGAGCAAACAGGAUUAGAUACCCCUGUAGUCCCUGUCUCUUAUAC